rfam:Marinobacter lutaoensis strain T5054 DSM17466_contig_4, whole genome shotgun sequence.
UCCAUCGCGAGGUGGAAUCUGAAGGAAGCCGCAGGCAAAGCACUGGCCUGACGAACAGAAAUCGCAUAGGAGGCGGUCACACCGGGUAAGGCGGCGAUUAUCGUCAAAGCCCAAUACUUACACGGAAGGUGUGGACGUAAAUGCGGCAGGCAUAAGUGUGAAGGUCACGCGUC